rnacentral:rRNA from 1 species
UGAUCCAGCCACUGCCGCGUGCAGGAUGAAGUGCCCUCUGGGGCUAAACUGCUUUUAUAUGGGAAUAAAAAGAUGGUCGCCAUUAUUGAAGGUACCAUAUGAAUAAGCACCGGCUAACUACGUGCCAUACAGCCGCGGUAAUACGUAGGGAGCAAGCGUUGUCCGGAAUCAUUGGGUGUAAAGGGUGCGUAGGCGGAUUGGUAAGUCAGAGGUGAAAGCCCGUAGCUUAACUACUGAACUGCCUUUGAUACUGCCAGUCUUGAGUCCUGGAGAGGUUACUGGAAUUCUUGGUGUAGCAGUGAAAUGCGUAGAUGUCACGAGGAAUACCCGAAGCGUAGGCGAGUAACUGGACAGGUACUGACGCUCAGGCACUAAAGCGUGGGGAGCAAACAGGAUUACAUACCCUGGUAGUCCACGCUGUAAACGAUGAACACUCGACGUUGGCCCUGUAUGGGGUCAGUGUCUAAGCUAACGCGUUAAGUGUUCCACCUGGGGA